rnacentral:lncRNA from 1 species
UAAACUCAAUCUCUGCAUUAUAAAAACAACAUAAAUACAAUACAAAAAUUAAAACACAAACAAUGAUAACAACAACAUACAACACUAUUUUCUAAACUUAUACAUAUACCUCAAGCAUAUCACAGAUACAUUUCACAUAUAUCCUUUCAUACUCCUCAUCAUUCGCCUUUUUUUUCUCCACAUCAUCCAACCUCUCUCGCUCAUCUUGCUCCUUCUGGACCCACUCCCGCACCUGCUGCAAC